GUUGGUUUUCGUUGUUUUGCUUAGCCUUUCUUUCAGGGAUGUCUGUUUUUCAGUACACACUCUGCCUUUUGAUAAUUGUAGGAAAAUGUGGAGCUAUCUCAGAUAAUAGAACCUGGCGUUGUCCACGACUAUUGGGAACAGAUCCUCCUGAAUGGAGCAGGACCUCUCUAGCCGUGUCCAGUGGACCCGUGAAUCAACAAAGCACAAAAACAUGUUUAUGACUGCACGCGGGCCGCCUCCGCUCCUGCGCCACGGCCUUCCUGGAAAUGCUCUCCAAGCAGGAGAAUGGUAAGGGAGGGGUCAGUGUGUUCACCCCUGCCGUGGGAUAAUCAGCACCUACCUUCCUUUUCUACCCAGUCGUGUUCCUGUAUCAGUCCAGCAAAGUGUUGACAAGUCGACUUUGAGACCCAUGAAUCAGCAAGGAAACUGAAUGAGCGAAUCCAUAAGGUUCUUACUAUAUUGCCCAGGCUGACCUUGAACUUCUAGCCUCAAAUGAGCUUCCUGUCUCUGCCUCCCGAGUAGCUGAGACUAUAGGUGCUUGUCAUCACACUUGACUCAGGUUAAAUUAAAAAAAUCAUGAGUUUACAAAGU